rnacentral:tRNA from 1 species
CAGAGUGUAGCCAAAUACCCAAUGCGUUUCCCCUACACCGAAAAGAUACCCGUGAAAUUCGGGUCACUCUGA